UGCGCGGCUGAAAGGGAACUGGGUUCCAAGCAGCGGGAGGUCCCGGGCCAGGGUCUCCGGGUGGGUCCUCGCGCCCUAUCCUUACCAAGACGAGGGGUCGACAAGCUGCACCCCCUUCCAGGACAGGGACGCGGAGACCCACGGGUGACCCUGGUGGGGGGCCGUGACCGCCCCAAGAUCCUUGACCGCCAGGUGGCCUGCAGUCCUGGGGGGCCUGAACACCUCCCUCUGCUGAGUGGGAGCCCCUGCUUCAGGUGGUGGACACAGAGAGCUGGCUCAGACAACUGCUGAACUGAGGGGCCCCGGCGUGUCCCAGAUGCCAGGUUGGAGGGAGAGCAGCACUGGCUGGACAGGCCCAGCCUAGUGAUGCCACCUCAAAACUUCUCUCCAGGACCCCACCAGCAGUGGGAGGAUGGGGUCUCUGAGAGGUGGGUCCCCCUCAGAGCCCCCUCAGGCUGGGCCCCUUGUCCCAGCUAAUGCAGAGCCCACCAUCCUAGCCUCUGUGCUGACCGCACACAGUGAGCCCUCUGAGAGGCCCUUGGUCCCAGAAGGGAUAUGGCCUGAGCUCCAGGCUCCAACAGAGAUCUAUGGCUGGCCUCCACACCACUCAUAGGACCUGAGUCCUUGCGCUCUCCAGUACCCCCUGAUGUUCCCCUGUAGGGCCUAGCAGGUGCAUGGUCCCUAUCAGCCCCUGUAUGCAAGCUGUGGGCACCAUGGCCCUAGCCCAGCCUUAAGCCCUGACAUGGCUGCUUGUCCAGGUGGGUUGGCCUCCACCCAAGCAGAGCAGAAGGAGCCAAAGGGGCCAUGUCCAAGCUAGAGGAGGGCUGGGGUCCCAAAGGGCCAAGCCUACACAAGGGCUGUGGUGGCAGGGAGUCAGAGUGCUAGGUGGGUACCCACCAGCCGUAGCCCUGGCUGGUGGAGGCUGAUCAGCUGGAGGAGGCCUGCAGUGUUUGUCACCUGUGUUCAGUCUUUGAGGGCUGCUGGAGGUGGUGUCCCUGGCACUUCCACCAGGAGCAGGUAGGAGUUGGGUAGUGAGGUCUAGCGGUACAGGCCCUGGUCGAGGAAGAGGCUGGAGAGGGAGGUGGCCUACAGGUGAGGUGUGACAGGAUGGCAGCUGUAGGGCCUGGAAUGGGGAGUGGGAAGGACGAACCUGCAAGAUAUGCUGGGACCCUGCUGUGAGCCCUUGUGGGAACAGCCUCAGCUGGAGGAGCCUCUACCACAGUGCCAUCCUCCUCUGAAAGCUGCCUCAGCUUCAUGCCACUGUGUGGUCGACUGAGGACACACAGUGUGGGAAGUAUGGGGAGGCCUGGUUCAUAACUAUCUGUGUGGUGGGCUGAGAGGAUUGAGUUGAGAGGGACUAGUUGGAUAUGGAACAUCACCUUGGGGACAGUGUCAUUGCAGGUUGCUGCUGGCCACCCUGAUGCCCUGGAAAGAAAAUGUGAAAGGCCCACAGUUUCUUGACACUUCAGGACCCGCCAGGACCUUCGUGGACCCCAGGCCCAUACCUGGGAAGAAACCACGUGAAGUGGCAGCGCAUUGGAGCACUAUUGGAUGCCUGUGCUCUGGAGUGAGAACCCCCUCCCCCCAGCAGAGGACAAGUGGCUGCACUUGCUUCUCCACUGGAACACAGGGCAUGGGAAAGACGUCUAGGUGCCGAGUGGCUCAUUCCACACUCAGGAGUUUGCUCCAACCCAGUCCCAGGGCCAGCCUGGGGGCAGCUCUGGGGCAGAGCAGGGCUGGUCUGGUCCAAGCAGCAGGAAGUGCCCCUGCUGUGAUAUGCAGUCUGACCCCUAGACUGAAGGUGUGGGGGGGGAAAGGUGGGAUUCCAGACCAAGUGCCCAUGGAGGGUGCAGAACUCCUGGGAUGGCUCUGGUCCCUGGCAGAGGACUGUCUGGCUACAGAAUGCCCAUGGCCAUGCAUCCACACUGCCCUCUGGCCCUGGUUCUCCAGACAUGCCCUGUUAGAAGGUGGCAGGCCCAAGGACGGUUGUUUCCAGAUGUACAGGGUAACUCUGGGACAGAAGGACAUUAGUGUCCUGCAUAUACAGGUGGCCUUCUCAUAGAAGAGACAUGUAUUCACACCCUCCAACUUUUCUCCCAGAGCACCUCUGCUGAAGGAGGGCCAGGUAGCUGCCCAUGGGCUCUGGUCUGGGUGUCCCAGGGUGGGGUGUUCCCUGCCUCCAAGCUCCAUGUUGAUGGCACCCCCUCCCCCAGUCAUGGCAAACAGGCGACUCCAGACAUGGCCUGUGUACUGAGGGGACAUGGUGGCUGCCUAUGGAGAGCAAAGCCCGGGGUCCCUGCAACAUCCGUGGCAUUAGAGCGGGGACACACUCAACUGCGAAGCUGGAGCAGGGGCAGGCCAUCACAGAGGGGAGCUUCCGGAGGCUUCUAGCCUGGCAGGGUGUUCCAGGACCUGAGUGUCCGCUGUGUCCCCAGGGGACACGGAGACCCUUUAUCCCUCUCCUGCUUCCCCCUCCACCAUGAACACAGCUGGAGGGCAGCGGCCCCACAGCGCCACCUGCUGGCACCAAGCCAUGCUCACCCGGGGUCCCGCUGUCCAUGCGCAGGCUGCAGGGCCAGGGCCGAGUGGCGCGGGAGCUGGAGGGCCCGCGGGCGGAGCUGCGUGAGCAGGGUAACAGACUCCAGAGCCCGUAGUCACCAACACCUAAGCCCAGUUUAUGUGCCCGUGCUUUGGCAGGUGGGCCAGGCAGACAGCAGCAUCUGGAGCCGCGCGGUUCCCAGCUGGGAGGUGGCAUUGGCGCCAAGCGCCUGAACCCAGCAGGGUCACGCGUCUCAGGGGCAGCUUAGGUCCGGCCAAAUACUUUUCCCACGAGGAACCCGCUGGGCUGUGUAUGCAGGUGGCAUGAGUGUACCCAAGUGUACAUGUGGGGAAGACCUUGCUCUAGCUCUUGCUGGACUUGUAGCCUCUCCUUCCCCAGACACCUCACCCACCCCCCCACCCCCCCACCAAGUUGCUCCCUAGGCCAGGGGCCUUUUUGACUCUCCUGGUUUUCCACCUGUCCACUACAUCACUGCCCAGCAUCACACCUACCUGAUGACCCUCCCAUCCUCAGCACAGCCUGUGUCAACCUUGUCUUCUGCCUGCCCCUGCCUUCUCAUGACCAUCCCUGUGGCCUGCUCAGCACUUCAAAGCACCUUGUGGCCUACCCAUCCACUACCCCAGCUGCACUAUGAUGAUCUCCGCUGUGCAGGGACCACCUGGCAUACGGAGACCAGUGCCAGCCUGUUAGGUGCUGCUGUGCCCCCAGCAGACUCCCUCAUGGGUCUGAGGUGAACAAAAGCAGCCCUACCCCAGCCGUGUGCUCUAGCUGUUCAGGGCGCCUUGCCCUGGGGCCAGAUGGAGCAGGAGCAAGAUCAGGUGGAAGAAGCUGGAGGAGCCAGAGGCGAGACUGACCCAUACCUGCCUGUGCCCAGGGACAGAAAAGCCAAGUGCCUGAAAAAGACCUGCUGCAUCUGUGUCCUCUGCAGACCUCGGCGGUCCUGGCCAACUCCCAGCUCUGGCAGGAUGGUGCAAACUCAC